AACGGACGCUGGCGGCAUGCCUAACACAUGCAAGUCGAACGAAGUCUUCGGACUUAGUGGCGCACGGGUGCGUAACGCGUGGGAAUCUGCCCUUGGGUACGGAAUAACUCAGAGAAAUUUGUGCUAAUACCGUAUAAUGUCUUCGGACCAAAGAUUUAUCGCCCAAGGAUGAGCCCGCGUAAGAUUAGCUAGUUGGUGGGGUAAAAGCCUACCAAGGCGACGAUCUUUAGCUGGUCUGAGAGGAUGAUCAGCCACACUGGGACUGAGACACGGCCCAGACUCCUACGGGAGGCAGCAGUGGGGAAUAUUGGACAAUGGGCGAAAGCCUGAUCCAGCAAUGCCGCGUGAGUGAUGAAGGCCCUAGGGUUGUAAAGCUCUUUUACCAGGGAUGAUAAUGACAGUACCUGGAGAAUAAGCUCCGGCUAACUCCGUG
rnacentral:rRNA from 1 species